CGAGCGCAACCCUUGUCCUUAGUUACCAGCACGUAUGGUGGGCACUCUAAGGAGACUGCCGGUGACAAACCGGAGGAAGGUGGGGGAUGACGUCAAGUCAUCAUGGCCCUUACGGCCUGGGCUACACACGUGCUACAAUGGUCGGUACAAAGGGUUGCCAAGCCGCGAGGUGGAGCUAAUCCCAUAAAACCGAUCGUAGUCCGGAUCGCAGUCUGCAACUCGACUGCGUGAAGUCGGAAUCGCUAGUAAUCGUGAAUCAGAAUGUCACGGUGAAUACGUUCCCGGGCCUU
rnacentral:rRNA from 1 species